ensembl:lincRNA
UUAAUUUCAAGGGUUUUAAACCAGUAUCGCCCUUUUGACCCCACAGGAGGGCAAACCUGUUUUCACGAGAGGACAGUUUUCCACUGAAGUAGCUGCUAUGACCCUGGAAGGAAGGCUCUCAAGGUUCUGCAUAUUCCCAGAAGUCCAUUAUUAGACCCGAGUAGAACUACGAAGGACUGAAGAAUAGCAAUUGAAUAGAAAACACUCUUUUUUGUCAAAAGAGUAAGAUUUAACCUUAAUAAACAUGAGAAAAAUCAAACAGAGAAGGUCACUCUCCAAGGAGAAUGAUAAGAGUAUUUUAGCAGUUAGUUUCCUUUCUUUAAAACGCACUGUGGGGAUCCUGGGCUUCUUGGUCCCCUGGUGUCUGGACAGCCUGGCCUUUGCAUCCCUGGCCCCACCUGCACCCCAAUCAUCUAAAAAGUGAUGUGGAAUGUGGUCUUCCCAGAAGUUACUUAUGGGCUUCUUUUGGCAACAGUUUGGUUUUGUCCCAGGAAAAGGACAGGCUGGAAGGAGGACCAUCGUGGGAUGACGUUAAUGGCCCCGCUCCAUAAACACUGGGCUCUGAAAGCUGGCUUGUGAGCAGCUGUUGAGCAGACAACAACUCUGUCCCUUAAGGGACUCCUCAGAGUCGGGGCGUCCAGGACAGCACACUCUACUUCUUCACAGCUACAGAUUUGCUCUGGCCUCUGUGCGGAUUCAGCCCCUGCCACCAGUCUCUCUCCUGUCCUUCCCACUCGGGUUCCUCAUCGGAUUCCACCCGUGUGACAAAGAGGCCCGUGGCCAAGGAUACGUGAUUGUGGUUGGCAAAGGAACGAUCAGAGAGAAGCAAAGCAAUGGGACCUUAGAAAUGAUUGGAUUUAGUGCCCGAUUGCACUGCACAAAGUAAUUUACCCAAUGCCUCGCCGCGGGCCAACAGGCUGAGGACCCUGGCUUUUCUUCUGUAUGCCUCAUACAGCUGCUGGAAAGAUGGAUGACGCCGUUUAUGUGAAAACGCUCUUUAAGUUGCAAAGUACAAGCAUAUAUUACAUGUGCGAGUGUGAGCAUCAGAAACAAAAGGCUGUACUAGAUACUUCCUGCAGAAAGCGGAAAUGCUUGAAUCUACACAUAGAUGAAGCCCUUGGUUUUCUAGUUAAAUUGCCAUAUUUAGCUGGUCACCUUAGCUUCCACAGCAAUGAAUCCAGAGCCAGAAUAUAGAGCUGUGACCAAGAGUCAGCAAUGUAGACCCAUCAACCCAGAACCAUGAACCAGAACCACAAAACAGUCAUGAAUUAGAGACUUUAAAUGCAGAGCCACAAACCCAGAGCCAUUGACUUCAGAGCCUCAAGCCCAAAGCUACAAACCCAGAGCCAUAAACCUAAAGCCAUGAACCAGGACCACAAACCAGAGCCAUAAACCAUAGCCACAAUGGUGCCACAAGACCAAAGCAUCUGACAUUUCACAGUUUUAGGGAAAAAAUGAUAGUGUGUUAAAUCAAGAUGGUGCUAGAAGUUAUCCUCUGACUGUAUUCUUUAUUACGGAAUUAAAUCUUAGUGAUGGAUCUUGGCUCUCCCAUUCAGUUUGUGCGUUGCUUUUGCGAG